UACGUAGGGUGCAAGCGUUAAUCGGAAUUACUGGGCGUAAAGCGUGCGCAGGCGGUUUUGUAAGUCUGACGUGAAAUCCCCGGGCUCAACCUGGGAAUUGCGUUGGAGACUGCAAGGCUAGAAUCUGGCAGAGGGGGGUAGAAUUCCACGUGUGAGCAGUGAAAUGCGUAGAUAUGUGGAGGAACACCGAUGGCGAAGGCAGCCCCCUGGGUCAAAACUGACGCUCAUGCACGAAAGGCGUGGGGAGCAAACAGGAUUAGAAACCGUCGUGA
rnacentral:rRNA from 1 species